CAGAGCCCCUCCACGUGAGCUACUGUUCCUGGGAACGCUGGUCGUACCAAGGACAGCCCUUUGGCAAGCAUGCAGCCUUUGUUCCUCUGCCUACUUAAGCAAGCUUCUCUUAGGGGGCGGCUGCAGGUGCACACUUCCGUCCAGCCAGCUGCCACUGGACACUCUCCUGCUCUGCUUUCCAGGAGCCCAGGCGGACACACAGGGAUGAGUGGAGUGAGGGGGAGCACUCCUCUUCUGGAGCUUCGUGGCUAUCGAUAGACUCAGAAGGGCUCCAUAGUGCUCGGGACGCUCCUGGCGGUGAAGAGACUUGAAUGAGUUUUAGAUGCUGAAGUUUCCUUUACUCUGGAAAACAAGCUGACUGAAGAAUGCUCCAACCAUUGUUCUCGGAGAAAGCAGUAAAGAAACCCUUGACCUAAACACACAUACUGCAGACUCUGAAACCAGCAGAACUGUUUUGUCUGUUAGUGAAAAACAGCUGGUUUUUGUUGGGCAUGGUGAAGUCAGAGCUCUUCCUCUGUAGAUUUCUGUCCUGGACCUGAGUGGUGAGGGGAAGGCAGCCCAGGGGAGACCAGUGGACCAGAAGGAGCCAGAGGAAUUUCUGGAAGCACAAUCAUGCCUUAGUGUAGGCAGAGAUAGCAUCAGGAACUGACGAGGGGCUCGGGGAAAGUACCACGGCCUGGGGACACAGAUGAGAUACUAGGGAUGGAAAGAAGUUUACGUGAGGGCACUCAGGCCUCAUAAUUUGUCUGAAAGUUGGGCAUCCAUGUCCACAUGGCAUCAUUGUUUGCCACUGGCACCAGUCGCAGAGUUGGAGGAUUUAAUUCACCAUCAAUGGCCAGUGUAGCCAGAUGAGGGCAAAGGGCUGGGGUAGCCGGACACGGCCAGGCUGGCUCUGCGAGAAUUCUGAAAACUUGUUCUGCUUCUGCAGCUGCACAUGGAUAAAACAGCCACUGGAUACGGAGGGAGGGCCUGCUGCAGUGACUGUCACAUCCGAGUGUUCUUUAGAUACUGAAAACACUGAAACAAAGACCUUUCAUCUAGCGUGUUUGUUUUUGUUGUAAAUUGAAUAUGCGCUUAUGUUAGAUGAAGAAAAAACUAGAUGAGAAAGCACAUAUCACCUGCAUUCCUGCCGUCCAGCUCUUUCCAUUCACAUUUAAACUCUUUCUAGAAGACUGGGAUAAUCUUCUGUAUUUGUAUUGUAUUUAUUUUCUAAUGGGCUUUUUUAUGAGCGUAUUUUUAAUUAAAUUAAAACAAAUUUAAUGGCUACAUGUCAUUCUGCUUUAUGGCUCUAUAUCCUUUAACUAGUUCUCUAUUGUUGGCCAUUUAGGCUUGUCCUGGUUUUUGUAAUAAUUAACACUCUCAUGGUUAUCUUUCUACAAAAUUCUUUGCCUCAUCCCUGGUAGUUUCUUUAGCGUAGCUUCUCAGGAGUAGAAUUACUGGGACAAGUGACCUGAACUUGGUAAAGCCCACACUACCAAAUUGCCUGCAUCAAGUUGUACUCCCACCAUCUCUAUUAUUGCUUUUGUUACCUUGUGGCAAAAUCUAUUUAUAAGCUAGUUGGUGGGGGUGCGGGUGCUUUUAUUGCAUUGUUCUGGGCUUUGGACUUCCUGGGUGAGACUCCAUUAAGAACUAAGCCAAAUGAACUCAAAACGCCCACCCUGGCCCCUUUAGGGAUGCACCUUCCAACUGCCCAGGAGCCAAGAGGAUGGGAAUGUGUGGUCCAAGGGCUUCCCCAGGCUCCCGGUGACAAGCCCUAAGAGUCCUCAGGGUGGGCCUCCUCAAAUUGGGGAACAAAGGAGUAGCCCAGCUCGUCCUAGGCAGUCUGCUUAGCCUGGGUGUUCCAGGUCCUAGUCGCUCCAUGAUUAUCAGUGAUAAGCCAUGCUUCUGAGAGAGGCCAUUGUGCUGAAUCUGUGUCACCUCUGGAUUUCAUGCACAAACAGGGCCCUUUGGAGCACCAGAGCUGGGAUCACCGGAGGGUGGAGGUGGCUCAGCUGUGAGACCACUGGCUGCUGAGGUGGGCUAGGGCAUCUUGCAGGGCCGGUCUCCUCCCCUCAGCUGGGACCUCCUCCUGCACACUCGCCUCAGAAGGGAACUGGUGGGAGGGGAAGGGCUGGACCAGUGCCAUCCAAGAGAAAUUUUAAAAGAAGUUAAAAACAUGGCUCUCAAACAAAAGAGAAUGACCAUGCAUCCAAAAUUUCAUUCAGCUCCUCAAUUCAGGAGGAAGCCAGGAAGUUGGUAAUGUGGGCU
rnacentral:lncRNA from 1 species